rnacentral:misc_RNA from 1 species
AACACAUUGUACGGUAUAUAAAGAUGUUCAGUUGCCCGGAUCUUGACAGUCUCUCAAUCCUUAGGACGUUCUUCAGCAGUUAUUAGAACACAGUUCAAUCAUGCUGAGGUCGAUUUCGCUGAAAGUGCUCCUUGCGCUUGUGGUGGUGUCUUCGAUUCUAAUGACAUCAUCGUCCAGCUCUAGUUGGGGAGUUGAUGCUCGUUAUCUACCCACUCGGUCUGAUUCGCUAUCGCCCAUAGGGCCUCCUCGCGGUGAAGAUCCUCGCUUCGACCGUUUCUACGACAUCGUUAGACAGCUAUUCCGAGAUGGCGGAGGCGACGUGAUGGGCGAAGCCAAGUAUCAAAUUCAAAGCCAAUUGAACAGUGGCCAAUACUGAAAUGAACGACGUGAAAGCUCAUCUCUCUAUACGGACAGUCUCGUUACUCCAUAGCCAUUUCCGAACAUACCAAUAGUUUCUGAUUUAUUUCCUGUUUUCCAAGCCACGAAAGUGUUAAACAAAAUGAUUUCGCAGGAGGUAUACUACAGAACUCUUUUUUGUGUGAAGGUGCAAAGCCCAAAGCAACCAUAAUCGAAGCAUCAAUACAUACCGCUUGUAACUUA